rnacentral:rRNA from 1 species
UACAGAGGGUGCGAGCGUUAAUCGGAAUUACUGGGCGUAAAGGGCUCGUAGGUGGCCAACUAAGUCAGACGUGAAAUCCCUCGGCUUAACCGGGGAACUGCGUCUGAUACUGGAUGGCUUGAGUUCGGGAGAGGGAUGCGGAAUUCCAGGUGUAGCGGUGAAAUGCGUAGAUAUCUGGAGGAACACCGGUGGCGAAGGCGGCAUCCUGGACCGACACUGACGCUGAGGAGCGAAAGCCAGGGGAGCAAACGGG